rnacentral:rRNA from 1 species
GGAUGUAGAGGAAAGUGGCGGACGGGUGAGUAACGCGUGAGGAACCUGCCUUGAAGAGGGGGACAACAGUUGGAAACGACUGCUAAUACCGCAUGAAGCAUAGGGGUCGCACGAUCCUUAUGCCAAAGAUUUAUCGCUUCAAGAUGGCCUCGCGUCUGAUUAGCUGGUUGGCGGGGUAACGGCCCACCAAGGCGACGAUCAGUAGCCGGACUGAGAGGUUGAACGGCCACAUUGGGACUGAGAUACGGCCCAGACUCCUACGGGAGGCAGCAGUGGGGAAUAUUGGGCAAUGGGCGCAAGCCUGACCCAGCAACGCCGCGUGAAGGAAGAAGGCUUUCGGGUUGUAAACUUCUUUUAAGAGGGAAGAGCAGAAGACGGUACCUCUAGAAUAAGCCACGGCUAACUACGUGCCAGCAGCCGCGGUAAUACGUAGGUGGCAAGCGUUGUCCGGAUUUACUGGGUGUAAAGGGCGUGCAGCCGGGUCUGCAAGUCAGAUGUGAAAUCCAUGGGCUCAACCCAUGAACUGCAUUUGAAACUGUAGAUCUUGGGUGUCGGAGGGGCAAUCGGAAUUCCUAGUGUAGCGGUGAAAUGCGUAGAUAUUAGGAGGAACACCAGUGG